rnacentral:rRNA from 1 species
AUUAGAUACCCGUGUAGUCCCAGCUGUAAACGAUGCGCGUUAGGUGUAUCGGUGACCACGAGUCACCGAGGUGCCGAAGGGAAACCGUGAAACGUGCCGCCUGGGAAGUACGGUCGCGAGGCUGAAACUUAAAGGAAUUGGCGGGGGAGCACCACAACAGGUGGAGCCUGCGGUUUAAUCGGACUCAACGCCGGGAAGCUCACCGGAUAAGACAGCUGAAUGAUAGCCGGGUUGGAGACUCUGCUUGACUAGCUGAGAGGUGGUGCAUGGC